rnacentral:rRNA from 1 species
AGUGAACGCUGGCGGUAGGCCUAACACAUGCAAGUCGAACGGCAGCACAGUAAGAGCUUGCUCUUACGGGUGGCGAGUGGCGGACGGGUGAGGAAUACAUCGGAAUCUACUUUUUCGUGGGGGAUAACGUAGGGAAACUUACGCUAAUACCGCAUACGACCUACGGGUGAAAGCAGGGGAUCUUCGGACCUUGCGCGAUUGAAUGAGCCGAUGUCGGAUUAGCUAGUUGGCGGGGAAAAGGCCCACCAAGGCGACGAUCCGUAGCUGGUCUGAGAGGAUGAUCAGCCACACUGGAACUGAGACACGGUCCAGACUCCUACGGGAGGCAGCAGUGGGGAAUAUUGGACAAGGGGCGCAAGCCUGAUCCAGCCAUACCGCGUGGGUGAAGAAGGCCUUCGGGUUGUAAAGCCCUUUUGUUGGGAAAGAAAAGCAGCAGGUUAAUACCCCGCUGUUCUGACGGUACCCAAAGAAUAAGCACCGGCUAACUUCGG